UUUAAUAUGGCAGAAAUAGUGCAUUGAGUUUAAGCCUCAUUUAUAAAAUUAUUAAAUUUUUAUUAAAA
rnacentral:tRNA from 1 species